GAUGAAGAACGCAGCGAAAUGCGAAAAGUAAUGUGAAUUGCAGAAUUCAGUGAAUCAUCGAAUCUUUGAACGCACAUUGCGCCCGCUGGUACUCCGGCGGGCACGCCUGUCCGAGCGUCAUUUCAACCCUCACGCCCUCCUUCGGGAUGGGCCUGGUGUUGGGGCUCGGCCGCCAUCUCCGGCGGCCGUCCCCUAAAUACAGUGGCGGUCACGUCGCGACUCCUUUGCGUAGUAGAAACACCUCGCUCCGGAUAGCAACGCGGUCCACGCCGUAAAACCCCCAAUUUUCAAUGGUUGACCUCGGAUCAGGUGGGAAUACCCGCUGAACUUAAGCAUAUCAAUAAGCGGAGGA
rnacentral:misc_RNA from 1 species